GACGUAGGGGGCGAGCGUUGUCCGGAUUUAUUGGGCGUAAAGCGCGCGUAGGCGGCCGCGUUAGUCGGAUGUGAAAACCCGGGGCUCAACCCCGGGCCGUCAUUCGAUACUGCGUGGCUAGAGGCAGGUAGGGGAGAUCGGAAUUCCUGGUGUAGCGGUGAAAUGCGCAGAUAUCAGGAGGAACACCGGUGGCGAAGGCGGAUCUCUGGGCCUGUCCUGACGCUGAGGCGCGAAAGCUAGGGGAGCGAACAGGAUUAGAUACCCUGGUAGUCCUAGCCGUAAACGAUGGGUGCUAGGUGUGGGGGGAUAUCAACCCCCUCCGUGCCGAAGCUAACGCAUUAAGCACCCCGCCUGGGGAGUACGGCCGCAAGGCUAAA
rnacentral:rRNA from 1 species